CGGAUGACUAGGAAAACCACAUCUACUGUGAGAAACAGGAACAACUUGUGUUCAGUAUAUUUCAGUUAAAUUACUGUGCAAAUAUCCUAGUGGAUUUAUGAAUGGACAUUGCCAAAAGAAAAUAUGAAGGACUGAUUACUAGACACUUGAAGACAAAAAUAGAAGAGAAUAAUAUGACUCAAAUAUUUACUCCAGGAGGAUGCCUAUCAAAUACAUCAGCAGAUCGGGAAAACACAGACUUUUAGUCCUACACUCAGCUGACUGACUGAGGCAUGUUGUGGAGAAUUUUCUGGACAUGUUGUUAACAUCUGACACAGUGAGUGAGGAAAAUAACCCACAGUCAAAGGGAAGGUUCAAGAAGUGGCAGCUCCUGGAGAUGCAAACUUAGGUGUGUUUGCUGGUUGCUGCAGAUACACUGGUUAAAUUCAAAUCCAUUCAUUUCUCAAUUGUGUCUCUCCCUCUAAACCACUGUAAUGCAAACCAAAAGGACCUUUAUGGAUGUUUUUUAUUGAUGUGUGCAGAUCAAGUGUAUCUUUAAUUAGUCCUGUCUGACAUUUUCCACAAUACCUUUAGUAGACAGUAUUAUAUAAAUAUUUCUAGUCACAGGCUAUGGAGGUGUUUGCCUAAAUUUUUCUUGGAUAAAGCCUUUAAUGCUUUCACCCAGAAUCCAUAGAGGAGCUACCCGAGUUUGGGAAGUUUAGCGUUGCUCUUUGUACUUUAACUUUUAAUAUCAGAGCACAUAUUGAAACCAUAAACACAAUGAAAAUUCAAGAAAUAUUCCGACGAUAUUAGAAUACAUCCCCUCCUUUUUUAUCCUUAAAGAGCCACGGGCGUGGGGAGUGGCAGGAAGAAACAUUCUUAAGAUCUAAGCCCUGGACGCCAUCCUGCGAGCGCUUAAAACCCUUAGAAACGUGCAACGUGAAGAACACCCCCUUUCGAAGUCUAAAACAAUAUUAGAUUCCCAAAACAUAUCG